ensembl:lncRNA
UUACAGACUUUUGGCUCUACUGAGACUGGAAGAAAAUCGUUGAGAGCCACAGUAGGAGACAUUUGGAAAUAAAUGUUUUGCACAGGCUGAGAUCAUGAAUCACAGAAUCGCUGAAUGGUUGAGUUUGGAAGGGAUCUCUGACAGUUCUCUGGUCCAACCUCAGUGCUACAGCAGGGCUUCCCAGAGCAGGUUGCCCAGGACCAUGUUGAGGUGGCUUCUGAAUGUCUCCAAAGAGGAGACUCCACAGAGUCUUUGGGCUGUGACAGUUGUCCAUCAUUUUGUCUGUGAAGAAAUGUAUCCGGAUGUUCAAAGGAACCUCCUGCAUUUCAGUUUGUGUUCAUCUUGUCACUGGGCAGUACUGGAAACAGACUGACUCCAUCCUCUUUACAUCCUCCCUUCAGAUCUGUGGCAGCAGCCCCUGCAAAACCUGGAAACAGAAGCACUCAGAAGCUGAUAGUAAGAAGCAAUUGGACAAAGUGGGAAAUACCAGGCAGUUUUCUCUUUCAGAAAGAUGUAUAAUAGCUGUUACAGGGGAAUCUGACCAAAAUUCCAUGCAAAAAUAUUUCUGAUACAGCUAAAGAAAUGUACGCCUCAUACAGCAUCUUGAAAUACACCUCAGCACAAUCAAAGCCUGAGAAGAGGAAGACAGAAUAUAACAGGCUUUCUACAUGCUAAAGCUUGGUCUGCAAAAAGAACUAAGGAAGCUAAGAAAGCUGUGAAGUAAUGAACAUCCUCUGUCGUGCAAGAAGGAAGGUAUUACCGAAGAUAAUGCACUGUAUCCAGGCAGAAGCACUACAAAAAGAUCAAACAUUCCACUUCAUCAUCCACAAAUACUUUGAUGCUACCAUAGGCAAGAAGAAUAGAGGAAAAGAAGCAAAAGGACACUUUAAAAUAGAAUACAGAAAAGAAAGAGAUUAUACACUGAACUGCUAUAAAUUACUGCCGGUAAAGCUGAGAAAUCCCAAAACACUAGAGAUGUAGCAAUCUGGUAAUGCAAGUAGAGAUUUAAACUUCAUCGAACAACCUUACCUCCCCCCGUGUAUUCUUGGAGAAAUAUACUCCCUGCUGUUCACAUAUUAGUUUCACGAGGAAGAGAAAUGUGAGGGUGGCCAACAAAUAAGCUAUUCACAGUUAUAUGAGUAUGAUUUACCCAAGUGUGAAUGCACUCAUGGGAGAACUGACAGGCAAGCCCCAAUUAGUUUACAAAAAAUUAUUUAAAAGCAACACCUCACAGUUGAGGUAUAAGUAAUCUCAAAGUCAGCUUUUAUCUUUUUACUUUCUAUCUCAUGAAUUUAGAGUUUUGCUUUUUUUAAACAGCAAGUGGAUAAUGAUAUCUCCUAAUAAUUUCCUUAAUUAUUCAUUCAAAUAGUAAAUGUUAAUUUCUUUCAGGCUGAGCACUUUCUCUGAGGUAAAGCAUCACUGUUGUUGCUUCUCUUCAUCCUCCUGCAACAUAAGGAUGUAUCUUCUUCAUUUUGUAGCAUCUCAGUACUUCUUUGCAUAA